AUUGAACGCUGGCGGCGUGCUUAACACAUGCAAGUCGAUCGGUAACAGGUGUAGCAAUACAUGCUGACGAGAGGCGGACGGGUGAGGAACGCUUGGGAAUCUGCCUAUCAGCGGGGGACAACCCGGGGAAACCCGGGCUAAUACCGCAUACGCUCUACGGAGGAAAGCCGGGGACCGCAAGGCCUGGCACUGAUAGAUGAGCCCAAGUCGGAUUAGCUAGUUGGCGGGGUAACGGCCCACCAAGGCGACGAUCCGUAGCUGGUCUGAGAGGACGAACAGACAACCCGGAACUGAAACACGGUCCGGACUCCUACGGGAGGCAGCAGGGGGGAAUAUUGGAAAAUGGGCGAAAGCCUGAUCCAGCGACGCCGCGUGGGUGAAGAAGGCCUGCGGGUUGUAAAGCCCUUUCGGUAGGGACGAAAGCUCUUGCCCUAACAAGGCAGGAGGUUGACUUAACCUACAAAAGAAGCACCGGCUAACUCUGUGCCAGCAGCCGCCGUAACAC
rnacentral:rRNA from 1 species